GUGAAAUGAAUGAAGAAACCUGUCCCUUU
rnacentral:piRNA from 1 species